AGACAAAGGUGACCCAUGUGUGAUAACAGUCAACUGCCCUGAUAAAACUGGUCUUGGUUGUGAUUUGUGUCGCAUCAUUCUCUUCUUUGGUCUUAGCAUUGUCAGAGGAGGUAAUUUCUUCCCCACUUAAUUGAUUUUAUUCUGUAUUUAGCAACGAUUUUCUUGUUUGGCUGCUGAGAAAAUAUGGGGAAAAUAUGUUAUGAUUUUCUUUUGUUGAAUCUACCUCUUGAAAUUUUUUGUAAAAAGAAAAAAAAAAGAGUGAUUGGUAUGUGUGAUUGGUCUUCAACUUUGAGAAACAAGUGAUGGGUAGUUAAGAUUUUAAUUACAUCUAGUGAAACUAUGAUUUUAAUUUUUUUAAAUAACUAUUUUCCUGGUUUGGCUGUUGAGAAAAUAUAGGAAAAAAAAGUUUUAUUUCUA
rnacentral:lncRNA from 1 species